UGGGGAAUCUUGGACAAUGGGCGCAAGCCUGAUCCAGCCAUGCCGCGUGAGUGAUGAAGGCCUUAGGGUUGUAAAGCUCUUUUUGCCGGGGACGAUAAUGACGGUACCCGCAGAAUAAGCCCCGGCUAACUUCGUGCCAGCAGCCGCGGUAAUACGAAGGGGGCUAGCGUUGUUCGGAAUUACUGGGCGUAAAGCGCACGUAGGCGGAUCUAUAAGUCAGGGGCGAAAUCCCGGGGCUCAACCUCGGAACUGCCUUUGAUACUGUAGAUCUCGAGUCCGGAAGAGGUGAGUGGAAUUCCUAGUGUAGAGGUGAAAUUCGUAGAUAUUAGGAAGAACACCAGUGGCGAAGGCGGCUCACUGGUCCGGUACUGACGCUGAGGUGCGAAAGCGUGGGGAGCAAACAGGAUUAGAUACCCUCGUAGUCCCUGAGCGGGCUGGCAAGGCGCAU
rnacentral:rRNA from 1 species